CAGCAGCCGCGGUAAUACCGGCGGCCCGAGUGGCGGUCACUAUUAUUGGGCUUAAAGCGUCCGUAGCCGGGUUGGGAAGUCCUCCGGGAAAUCUGGCCGCUUAACGGUCAGAAUGCCGGAGGAUACUCCCAGCCUAGGGGGCGGGAGAGGCCGAGGGGAUUCCCGGGGUAGGGGUGAAAUCCUAUAAUCCCGGGAGGACCACCUGUGGCGAAGGCGCUCGGCCGGAACGCGUCCGACGGUGAGGGACGAAGGCCAGGGGAGCAAACCGGAUUAGAUACCCGGGUAGUCCUGGCUGUAAACGAUGCGGACUUUGUGUCGGACAAGCUAUGAGCUUGUCCGGUGCCGGAGGGAAACCGUUAAGUCCGCCGCCUGGGGAGUACGGCCGCAAGGCUGAAACUUAAAGGAAUUGGCGGG
rnacentral:rRNA from 1 species